AAACGAACAAGAAGCGAGGAAGAGGAGGAGGAAGCAGGACUGGCGGAACCAGUUACCUCUUGAGUUCUUUCGGCUGGCUUUUUCCUCAGAGCUUGUUUAAUCCUGGGGUCCAGGAGAGAUGUCAUCCUACCACUUGGGAAGCAGCUGAAUCAACUGGUUUCCUCUUUGUUUGCCAUUAUUAGUGGUCAGAUGAGGUGGCCUGCUGAAGGUUCGGGAAUGUUCACCAACUAAAACUAAAAGCACAACUCCAUUGAUACUCAGAAUAUCAGCAGAACAUUCCUGUUCCUCAGUCUGAAGAAAUGAAGCCAAACUAUGUAAGGAAAGUAAGACCUCAACAUUAAAAAAUACAGGAUAGAGGGAAAGUUCAUUUUGAAAUGUUGAUGUUCUCUGUCACUCUUUUUGAAUGGUCUAUAAUGUGCUGGCUUCUGGAGUUUGACUAUCCAGUGAAUACAGUGAGUGUUAACAGCAUAAAAGACUUUAUUUACAUGAAAGUAAAUGGGGACUGUAGACUGCAGCUGCUCACUUAGGGAAUGAAUGAACUAUUUUUCUGGCAAGAGGUGAUUAUCCUGUUUGCAUGUACUGGGUGUUCGUAUGACUUAACCAGUUAGUUAGAAGGCUGAUUACUUUAAAGAUAAUGUAUACCUAUGUGGCAACUGAUUUGUAGACAGUCUGUGCCCUAGACUAGCUAGAGGCCUGCAUUUGCAAAAUCGGGCUUUUAUAUUCAUAUUCCUAAUAGAAUGAGGAACUCCAGCCACAAGCAACCACAGCAAGUGUCUGCUGUGUUUGAGUCCCUUGAAGCAAAACGUUCUUGUGUGCCUUCAUUUUCAACUUAUGGUAACUCUAAGGCAAACCUAUCAUGGUUUUUGCUAAGACUACGAGUGUGUUACUUGCCGAAAGUCACCCAGUGGGCUUUCAUGACACAGUGGAGAUUCAAAUCCUGGUCUCAAGGGUCAUAGUCCAACCCUAAAACCAUUAUGCCACACUUGGUCCCAUGAUACUCAAGUCAAAAUUACACAUAAAUAUUAAAUCACAUACAUGAUCACUUGGGAGUUUUCCUCUACUUUAAUUAAUAUUUGCAAAUUACAGUUCUCCUUUUAAUGUUACCAUAUGACUUCCUAGUUAGGAACUUGAACCCUCAAACAUUCACCUCCUCUGGAUGCUGCUCAAUAAUGCAGUUAUGAUACUGGUGACAGGCUGGGGUAAACUUUAUUUCUGCAUUUCUGCACUAUUUCCUUCACAGGUUCCUUCACACUCUUGGGUAAAACAGGUAUAUAUGAAUACAGGACCUUUUUAGUUUUGUAGAUGAUAAUUUAUGUUCCCCUAUGCCAACUCCCAUCAGAUCUUGGAAACUUAGCAGGGUUUAGUGUAUAAUAUUAGUAAUACUUGAAUGGAAACUAGCCAACAAAUACCAGAUGCUGUAGGCUAUACCUCAGAUGAAAGAACUCGCAAAACCACCUUUGAGUAUUCCUUGCCUAAGAAAACCCCAUGAAGUUCAUGGGGUCAGCAUAAGUCAACAGGGAACUAGAAGGCACAGACAUGCCUAAGAAAACCUCAGGAAAUGUAUGGAGGCACCAUAAAUUGACAGGUGAUUGAAUGUACAUACAUCUGAACUCUGAGUAUGAUCUCAGGAUCAUAGAUAUGUUACCAAGGUUUUUGAGAACUAAAAUGCUCUUUAUGUAAACCUGUAUUAUCAUGAGGAUAAGUGCUAAUUCAACUGACAAGACCUUGUCAGUUAACAGGGAAUCGGGUAUCUGAAGCCACAUUUUGUAAUGGAGACCACCAUAGAAGUAGGAAAGAAGGGAGUGAAGGGCAGGGGGAGGGGGCGCAAUUCCAAAGCCUUUUAUCUAUCUCUGGUUGAUUUUAAAAUUUGUUUCUCAUAUUCCAAAGGCAAUGUGAAAGCAUAAUGUAGGAAGACUGUGAUUGUAAUUCCACAAUCCUGCUUAGUCAUGAAACAGUUUAAAAACCUUAUGCAAACACAUUUCAAAAGCUGUCUUUUAAUCUUAUUCACAUGUAAACUGGGUGCUUCCAUAAUUAUGCCUUCAUUAUACAAUGUACUAAUUUAAGAGUAAGAGCACAUCUGGGUGUCACCAUCUUCCAAAAGUAGCCUUCCUGUUUUUCCUGUCAUGUUGUCUGUUUCUCUAUUUCUGUAAACCACAGCAAAUCAUUUAAGAUGGGGGAAAAAGAAUACUACAUAGUGCCUUUUGAAUACAUUGUGUGACUAUGAUUGUACCCAACCUUAUUUUGAAAACUAAUUGGUGUUGAGACUGGUCAGUACUUAUUUGAGACAUUAUGUCAGGGAUUUCCAAGUAGGGCUGCCAUAGCUACCGAUCAUUGCUGACAGUCCAGUACUUCUUUGACAGUACUGGCAUAAUGGACCAAUAGCCUGAGUUAUCAGGCAGCCUUCUGUGUUGCUGUAACUUGUAAUGAGAAGAGCAAUCUGCAAGUAGCCAAACUGCAGUAACAACCUCUGGAUUAAAGAAUCCAGGGCGCUUUAAGUAGUAUGCGUGACACUACCAGCCGUAGCACAGCCUGCUGGCUACUCCAUUUCCUCAGAAGAGAUAAAUGUAAUGUAAAUUAGCAAGAGUGUUACAUGUUAACAGCUCCAACUAUUGAAUAAAGAUGUAGAGCACACAGAAAUAAAUCUACAAAACCCAUUCCACCUUUCCUCUGCCAGCCAGCUUGCAGCUCCUUAUUGCCUAUGCUUACAAAGCUGACUAAAGUUCUAGGCAAGACAUUUCUAGAUAACCCUCUUUAUCUCUAUGCCAUGUUUGACUGAAGCAAUAGUAAAAAAAAUUAAAAGCUGAUAAAUCUGUUCUGACUACAGAUUAAAAUGGGAUAAUAUUUACCUAUUGCUUUGGGAUACAUAAAGAGCUUGGUUACAAAGUAAAACAUCCUCUAAUGGAAAAGAGGACACUGAAUGGGGGCUGUUGUAUGUUUUCCGGGCUGUAUGGUCAUG